CAUGGACAUAUUGUUUAUGGGGGAGAACCAUGCGACUCCUCACAUGCUCCAAACUUAUACUGCAUGUUUUCCUGUCUCCACCAUUAGGUUUUGGACACACUGGCUUUCUUUUUCUUCCCAGGAGAUAUUAAGUUCACUUUACCUCAGGACCUUUGCAACAGUUCUACCCUGUGCUUGGAUUGAUCUGCCACAGAAACUUAAAGUCCAGCUGAUUCUCAUUCUUCAGAUUCCAGGGUGAGUGCUGAGUCCUAAGUGUUAAGUGGUUGCAAGGGACCCCAGAAUCACACUGGAGGUGAAACAGUGACAGAAUGGGCACUUCCAGUAAGACACUGAAGACUGGCUCCACAUCAACGCACUCAGGGACUGGAGGUAGAGCUUUUGGAAAUAGAGAGAAUUAGCAUUUAGAAACUGCAGUCUCAGAGAACUGUGAGAAGGGUUUCAGGCACUGAGAUGAAGGAGCUCCUAGCAGCUCAGCCCAACAUGGAGUUGUAAGCAAGUACUACAACACAGAGUAAGAAAAGCCACAAUAAGGUAAAUAUUGAUCAUCUUUAUUUUCUAGGCAGAUUUUAUUUUCUAUAUUGUAGAUUUUGCUACUAUUCUACUUUAAAUGAACUUAUCUCAAUUCAUAGUUCAGUUAAUCUUGAUUUAUUGUAGAAAUUCUUAAAAUGUUAUCCCCUUUAAAGAAAAUAGCUAAAUUUUGUACUAUAAUUUUUAACCCCAUAACACAUCAAAUAAGUAGAGUAUAAAAUGUAAUAUUUCAAUAUAAUGCAUUUAGGCAAAUAUAAAGUGUACUAAUUAAGUUUAUACUACUUUUUAAAAUCAGAAAAUAUCCUGUGAACAAAACUUAGAUUAUACAUCAUAUUUGAUGAACCCCAAAGAAGGACAGGCCUGCAUAUGGUUUAUAGGGUAUAAAUGCUGCUUAUUACAGGAUAUUUUAUUCUAACUCUAUCUCAGAAGAAAAAAGUGGAAUAAAAACCAAUGUUAUGGAAAAUAACUGAAUAUUUUAGUUUUGGUGCUAGAGAGAAUCUAUUUUUCAUUUUUAUUUAAGCAGACUCUAUGACUACAUGUAGAAAUGCUAGCAAUUGUAUCAUCUGGGUCCUAUAGAAGCCUGUGACCUUCUGGGCAGGGUGUGUCGAUUCACUGCUGUUAGAAAAGUAACCAGUAUUAAGUCAGGGCAGACUGGCUUGGAAUAAUGCAAAACCAAACCAGGAUAUCACAAUGUAAUCUAAUAACUUAUGUAGAAGAAGCUAAAAUGCAAAAUUUCAAAUAUUAGCUCUAAUCAAUAGUCACUGGAGAAAAUAGGUACAUGGGUUUAAAUUGUGAACUUUUGAAAUAGUUGUACAAAAGAGAAAGACCUUCGAAUCUUUAUGUUUUAGAAAUUUGAACACAGAGUGCUUCAGCAAAGAAGAAUCCCCUUUCUAACUCCUUUGCUGCUUGUGAAAUAUUUAUGCAGGUGAAAACGAAAGAAAUUUUUCCAUAUGAAGAAGUUAGUAAUGGAACUUGUCAUUCUCUUUUUGUAGUCAUAUAUUGACUGUAUGUCAUUCAGUUUCCUUGGCUUUUAGAGAAUGGUCACACCACAGAAUGACUAGGAGCAGAAAUAGUCUCCAAAUAGUCCAGAUUUGAUAUUUCAAUGUCUUAAAUAUACAUGUCAAUUAUAGAAAUAAUAUUAUGAACAUGGCCAGUCAGAAUCUGAAGCAUUACAACAUCAGAGCAGUCACAUUUUAUUGUAAUAAAAUGAAUGUGGGCUUUGGGGCACACUUACCUAUAUUCAAACUCAGGUGCUUCCACUUUCAGUGAGUGUUCAGACAAAUAUUUGUGGGUUCUUUCUUUUUCAUUUUUAAUGUUUAUGAGUACAUAGUAUUAUAUAUAUACACACACACACACACACACUUAUGGGGUACAGCAGACUUUUUAACAUAGGCAUACAAUGCUAGACAAAAAUUUUUAAUUUCACUUUAUUAAUAAUUAGUAGUAGUAGCACAGUCAAAACAGUAACAAUAACAUUUAUUGAGCAUUUACUGUGUUCCAGGCAUUAUUCUAAGUUCUUUUCUGUAUUCCUUUAAUUCUCACAAAAUCUAAUGAGAUAAGUAUAUUAACAUCCUCAUUUUACAGAAAAAAAAUUGUCACAAUUUUUGAAUAAUAGUCCCCAAGAACUAUUUGUAUACUAGAAUUUCUUGAAAAUGUUUUUAAUUACACACUAUGUAAAUAUGUAAAAUGUAUAUAAUGGAUAUCUUGAAGAGAUAAAUCUCUGUUAGUAGGUAUUUAUUAAAAGGUAGGUAUAAUUUUAUUAUUGUA